CAGAUAGGCCGGAUAGGUCGGUUCUGCUAAUGGAGACUUUCACUUAUUUCACCUGGCACGCGUUCUGCAAGAAGACGAUGUGAAGAUAAAUAUGAAGAUUUCGAUCAAAGGAAGCGGCUGAAUGGAUCAUAACCCCGGAUUUCUUUUAACAACCAUCCGCAGAGGAAAAGUUGGGCUGGAGGCGAGGAAAUCCACAUUCAGGAGUUCACCGACAAACAAACGGAUGCAAUUAAACACACUCGCCUUCAGAUCAUCAAUGAGGAGGCAAAGUCAAGACUGGUGGAAAAACCAACAAGGACAAAUGUAAGACGGAAGAAGACUCUGCUGCUUCAAGGUUACACUUGAACUGUGUUAAGAGCCCAACUUCACACAAUCUGGAUAGUUCUUACUCCUUCUACAAACACACAUCACAAGCUGUUUUUUAUUCUGAUAUAACUCUUAAUUGAUGUUAUUUUUUGGGAUAUUUGCUAAAAAAAAAUCUUCUGUUUCUUCUUUGCCACCCCACUGUCUUGGAAGUAAUUAAAAAAUAGUUUGCAAAUAAAGACUAUCAUUGUCAAACCA